rnacentral:lncRNA from 1 species
GGGGCCCUCUAGUCCCAACCUCUAGGCUUCUUGGAUAUGGGGAAUGGGCAUCCUGUGAAGGCUAAGAAGUGGGGAGUUGUAACCUCAACCACCAGAACCCGAGGUACAAAAGUCCAGAAAGACUUUGAGGUGGAACAACCCUGGGGCCCACUGACAGUGAUUCAAGGAAGUUCAGCAAUAUUGCCCUGUGUGCUGAUCAAUGAUGUGUUUGAUGGGCAUACCAAGUGGUUCAAGGGAAAAGGAAUGGGCCAGUGGCUCAUAUACAGUGAAAAAGACCACACCUCUGCCAGAGCACAGAGAGUGAACCACUCACGUAGGAACAUGACCAUUCU